CUCAUUGUUUUGACACCUGGACU
rnacentral:piRNA from 1 species